GCGCCGCUGCAAUCGACGUUGUCAUCAUCCUCAUCCCCUCUCCACCGCCUCUGUUUGUUUUCGUUCUGUCAAGCAUCGGUGCAACCGACCUUGUUGCCGUCAUCAUUUUAAUCUCCUCACGAUGUAUAUCAAUUUGCCUCCAAGCCAAACCGAUCUUUUCUUCUCGGUGCAAGCCAGCCACAGCUAGAGCUCGUAGCCACCACUCUCAACCUCCAUCCAUCCAUCUUCGCCGGUCGCCGCCAACAGAGGAAGGCGUCGCUAUGACCCCUCUACCCCACCGUGAAUCUGCACCGUCUCCCAUGGCUGGAAUCGCCGCUGUCGAGCCCGGCCAAGCUGGAGCUAAGGUUUUUGCUGCCGGCGCUUCAUUGCGAAAUUCGUCGCCACCAAUGCUCUUCAUCCAAAUUAAAUGAUCGUAUAAAAGAGAAGUUUAUUAGGUCGCCGCAGGAGCUGAUGUGGACCCAGAUGGCUACGUUAAAGCUCCCAGAAAACCACAUAUUGCAAGGCAAGCCAUUAAUCUAUCCUUGAUCAACUUGAGAACCUAAGUAGAGAACCACUUAGUUAUUUUAUGCAUUAUUUACUUACAAAGUUAUUUUGGCGUACCAUUAUUUUCAAAUAAUCUUGUUAUAUUAGUUAUUGCCCUAUACUUAAUUUACUAUUAUUGUCAAUACCAUAAACUACCAUAUCAUGUUCCCUGAUAACCUAGAUAUAGGUUGUAUAUUACAUCAGAUUAAUAUUAUAGUGGGUAAUACCACCAAAACCCUGUAUAAAAUGUGUUUUGAUAUGAAUCACUCAUUCGAAGUGAUAUGGAGGUUAAUUCUGAGUAAAGAUGAUAUUUUGAAUAAUUUUCUUAUGCCAUAUGAAGCGAUGUAAUUACGCCCAUCCGCAUGAUCGAGAUAUUCGAACUUAGCAUAUGCUGCUCUAGUGAAUUAAUGAUCUGCAGCCUAUCUGUGUAUAUGGCAAUAUCGGUCUUAGGUGUGUACUGGCCACUGAGUGUUGGUGAGAAUUGUAUGAGUGAGGGUGCUGCGUGUACCCAGGGUACUGUGUAUACCCAAAAGAGGUCAGGAGGAGCUGAUGUGCCUCUGAGACGCUCAAUAGUGGGUGAAAGUUGUGGCAGGUUGGAGCACACCUCCUCUGUGUUCGGGAUGGGGCCAACAGCCAUAAUCCUUUAACCCGCUAGGUGGAUCUUAGAUGAGCUUGGGGCAGUUUUAUGUUAUGUUAUUUACAGCCUUGCAAACUGUGGAUAGCGUGCAGGUAAAGCUGGACAGACACUGCAGAGUCGUACAGUAUUCGAAUACGCCGUGCUCCUGGUUAAUGGAGAUACGUCGUAGGGUGAUUCCUAUUCUCAUGUUCAGAAGAGCAGGUCGUCGUCAAGGUUGUUCGUGUUAGGGUUGCUUCCUUCGCUCGAGCUUGCCUGUGGUGUUGUUGGGUCUUCUGCUUGCUGUCUGGUUGUCUUUUUGAAGAGCUAGGCCGACGUGUCAUAUUUCCGCUGCUAAGUAAGUAUAAUUCGUUGAGCCUGUGCUUUUAUACCUUUUCUAUGCGCAACUGCAUCCUGGGCAGUUGUGGCUUGUGGAAUUCCUGUUUAUUUCAGGUGCACCCUCACAACAUUUAAUAGCAUCAGGACAAAGGUCAGCAAGCAAACUUGGUUGGAUAGCAUAUACGAGGUUAAAGAAAAAUGGGCUGAAUGUUAUAUGAAGGGUGUGUUCACGUUAGGGAUGAGAAGUACACAAUUGAGUGAGAGUCUGAACAGUGAUUUGAAGUGACAUUUCAAAUCUGAUUUUGAUAUCAUUCGAUUUCUUAAGCAUUUUGAAAGGGUUGUGGAAUAUAAAAGAAAUAAUGAAUUGAAAGCUUAAUUUGAAUCAAGGAAAAAAUUACCUAGACUCAAAAUGAGGACACCUAUGUUAAUCCAAGCUAGCAAGCUGUACACGGGAUAUUACCAGUACAUGCAGUUGUGGGCAGUUCAAUGGAAUCGGAAUAUUGUGUGGCCAUGCUUUAAAAGUCCUUGAUUUGAUGGAUAUCAAGUCACUCCCAACCCAAUAUAUAUUGAAGAGAUGGACACGGGAAGCACGCUGUGGGAUAGUACAAGAUAACCAAGGCCGAAACAUAAUAGAGAAUCCAAAAUUAGAUGAUAUGCUUCGCUACAAAGAUAUGUCUCGCAAAUUUCUCAAUGUGGCUCAACGAGCUGCCAGUUAUCCAAGGUGCACCUUAUUAGUACACAACACACUUGACAUGCUUAGCAAGCAAGUCGAAGAAGAAAUCAAUAGUUUCUCUAGUGUCGUGGAUCCAGUCAUUGUUCCCACAAAUGUUGCUCCCCCCAUUGAUUUGGCGAGUACAACAAGCCUAAAGAAAAAGGAGGUGAAAACAAAAAACUCAAAGCGCAAAAGAAAUUGGCUCGAUAAGAAGCGCAAGGUAGUAAAGAAUGGAGGCAAUAAAAAAGGGAAAAUGUUCAAAGGAACAAGAAACUAGAAAAAUGAUAGAGAACAGCAAAACAAUAGUCGAUGAUGGUGUAACGGUUCAAAAUAUUUCUCCUAGUACUUCUGUGCCCAAGGAAGAAAUGUCUGAACUAUAUAUGGCCAUCAAUACCUUCUCUCAACUAUUUACGGGGGCAAUCACAGAUGAUGUCAUUGCUGAAUUCUAGUAGUAUGGGUAUUUGCAGUAGGAAGAAUGUCUUUUGCCUCCUGAAACAAAGAUUGUUUUGGAGUAGCUUUUGCAUUUGUGGUUGAAGUAUAAAAUAGAGGGAAAAUUGUGAAGUUAAUAUGACCAGCAAUAAGGUCAUAUAAACCUACUGGAUGCCAAAGAGCAGCAGAAAGAUUUGUGCA